UACAGAGGGUGCGAGCGUUGUUCGGAAUUACUGGGCGUAAAGCGCGCGCAGGCGGCCCUUUAAGUCCGCUGGUCAAAGACCGGGGCUCAACCCCGCGUCAGCCAGGGAUACUGGAGGGCUGGAGACAAGUAGAGGCAAGCGGAAUUCCGGGUGUAGCGGUGGAAUGCGUAGAGAUCCGGAAGAACACCUAUGGCGAAGGCAGCUCUCUGGGACGGUACUGACGCUGAGACGCGAAAGCGUGGGGAGCGAACAGG
rnacentral:rRNA from 1 species